GACUAACGCUGGCGGCGUGCCUAACACAUGCAAGUCGAACGAAGUAGCAAUACUUAGUGGCAGACGGGUGAGUAACACGUAGUCAACCUACCUCUUAAUGGGGGAUAACUAGCCGAAAGGUUAGCUAAUACCGCAUACGAUCGCCGAGUGGCAUCACACGGCGAUGAAAGGAGCAAUCCGUUAAGAGAGGGGACUGCGUCCCAUUAGUUAGUUGGUGGGGUAACGGCCUACCAAGACUCCGAUGGGUAGCUGGCUUGAGAGAGCGACCAG
rnacentral:rRNA from 1 species